CUAGUAAUUUUUUUUAAACAUUUUUUUUUUAAGGAAUAUUAGCUAAGUUUAUUAUACUGACUAAUAUUCCCCUUUCCCCUCCAA